AUACGUAGGGGGCAAGCGUUAUCCGGAAUCACUGGGCGUAAAGGGUGCGUAGGCGGUCGACAAAGUCUGGGGUGAAAGGCUACGGCUCAACCGUAGUAAGCCUUGGAAACUUGUUGACUUGAGUGCAGGAGAGGUAAGUGGAAUUCCUAGUGUAGCGGUGAAAUGCGUAGAUAUUAGGAGGAACACCAGUGGCGAAGGCGACUUACUGGACUGUAACUGACGCUGAGGCACGAAAGCGUGGGGAGCAAACAGGAUUAGAUACCCUGGUAGUCCACGCUGUAAACGAUGAGUGCUAGGUGUCGGAGCCGACAGGCUUCGGUGCCGCAGCUAACGCAUUAAGCACUCCGCCUGGGGAGUACGUUCGCAAGAGUGAA
rnacentral:rRNA from 1 species